rnacentral:snRNA from 1 species
AUACUUCUCUGGCAGGGGAGACACCAUGAUCAUGAAGGUGGUUUUCCCAGGAUGAGGCUUAUCCAUUGCACUUUGGUGUGUUGACCCCUGCUAUUUCUCUAAAUAUGGGAAACACAACUGUACAAUUUGUAGUAGUGGGGAACUGUGUUUGCACUUUCCCCUG